rnacentral:ncRNA from 1 species
CCGGGACGUCGCAGGCUCCCGGCGCCCCCGGGCGAAGACGGUGUCCCGUCCAAGUUCUGC